GAUGAACGCUGACAGAAUGCUUAACACAUGCAAGUCGAUGGGGAAGUGGUGCUUGCACCAUGGCAACCAUGGCGGACGGGUGAGUAACGCGUAAGGGACUUACCUGCAGGACUGGGAUAACAGGGGGGAACUCCUGACAAGACCGGAUAAUGUCAUGGAGCUGCAUGGCUUUAUGAUGAAAGGAGACGCCUGCGGAGAGCCUUGCGUCCUAUUAGCUAGUUGGUGAGGUAAUGGCUCACCAAGGCGAAGAUAGGUAGCCGGCCUGAGAGGGUGGACGGCCACAAGGGGACUGAGAUACGGCCCUUACUCCUACGGGAGGCAGCAGUGGGGAAUAUUGGACAAUGGGGGCAACCCUGAUCCAGCAAUUCUGUGUGCACGAAGAAGGUUUUCGGAUUGUAAAGUGCUUUCAGCAGGGAAGAAGUAAGUGACGGUACCUGCAGAAGAAGCGACGGCUAAAUACGUG
rnacentral:rRNA from 1 species